rnacentral:rRNA from 1 species
GACGAACGCUGGCGGCGUGCCUAAUACAUGCAAGUAGGACGCAGUUGCGAACGGGUGAGUAACGCGUCGGUAACUGCCUAUUAGAGGGGGAUAACUAUUGGAAACGAUAGCUAAUACCGCAUACUAGUAGAUGGACCUGCGUUGUAUUAGCUAGUAGGUAGGGUAAUGGCCUACCUAGGCGACGAUACAUAGCCGACCUGAGAGGGUGAUCGGCCAAAAUGGGACUGGGACACGGCCCAGAACCCUACUGGAGGCAGCAGUAGGGAAUCUUCGGCAAUUGGGCGAACCCUGACCGAGCAACGCCGGGGGAGUGAAGAAGGUUUUCGGAUCGUAAAGCUAUGUUGUGAAGGAAGCGGUACUUAACCAGAAAGGGACGGCUAACUACGUGCCAGCAGCCGCGGUAAUUC